rnacentral:rRNA from 1 species
UCUGGUGACAAUGGCAAGGAGGUCACACCUGUUCCCAUGCCGAACACAGAAGUUAAGCUCCUUAGCGCCGAUGGUAGUCGGAC